rnacentral:misc_RNA from 1 species
AACGCACAUUGCGCCCAUUGGUAUUCCGAUGGGCAUGCCUGUUUGAGCGUCAUUGCAACCCCUUCGGUUCGAAGUUUUGGCUUCGGACCGGUUUUGGGCUCCACAGUCGGUCGACUCCGGUUGGCGUGUGGGCUUUAAAGUUGCACGCUCUGCGGGCCAGCUGCCUGAACGAACAUAGUAGAAUCGAACUGCUCGCGAAAGGCUUGGUUGGCUCCGCCUGAACAAAACCCCAAUUCAUAAGGUUUGACCUCAGAUCAGGUAAGGAUACCGGCUGAACUUAA